rnacentral:rRNA from 1 species
AGGACGAACGCUUGCGACGUGCCUAAGAAAUGCAAGUCGAACGGACAGUAGCAAUACUGUUAGUGGCGAACGGUCGCGUAACACGUGGGCAACCUGCCCUGAAGCGGGGGACAACAACUCGAAAGAGUUGCUAAUACCGCAUGUGAAUCGCUGUGGCAUCACAGAGGAUUCAAAGCCGCAAGGCACUUCAGGAUGGGCCCGCGGCCUAUCAGCUAGUUGGUGAGGUAACGGCCCACCAAGGCUUCGACGGGUAGCUGGUCUGAGAGGACGAUCAGCCGGAUUGGGACUGAGAUACGGCCCAGACUCCUACGGGGGGCAGGCAAUUAGGAAUCUUGCGCAAUGGGCGAAAGCCUGACGCAGCGACGUCGCGUGAAGGAUGAAAUCUUUCGGGAUGUAAACUUCUUUUCUGAGGAAGAAACAAUGACGGUACUCAGAGAAUAAGCCCGGCUAACUACGUGCCAGCAGCCGCGGU